rnacentral:rRNA from 1 species
UACGUAGGUGACAAGCGUUGUCCGGAAUUAUUGGGCGUAAAGGGAGCGCAGGCGGUUGGAAUAGUCUGAUGUGAAAGCCCACGGCUUAACCGUGGAAGGUCACUGGAAACUGUCCAACUUGAAUGCAGAAGAUGUAAGUGGAAUUCCAUGUGUAGCGGUGAAAUGCGUUGAUAUAUGGAGGAACACCAGUGGCGGACGCUACUUACUGGUCUGUGAUUGCCGCUGAGGCUCGAAAGCGUUUGUA